AACUCCACAGAAUGAUCUAUUAAAUACCUUACAUUGAAAAAAUUAAGAUCUACUCUUGCUAAGCUUCCUCAUGUGAAAGGACUGUCUGCAUGGAAUAUGAAGUCUGAGCUACAAUUUCAUACGCCUAAAAAACAUGGUCUGGGGCCCGAUCUCAGCAGCUACUUAAGAAAAGGUGUAUGUCCAGGUUAAGAAAACUAGAAGUUGCAGGAAAUGAGUGACGUUAGCAAAACAACGCACGUAGGAAUUGACCAAUUACUACAGCACAAAGAGAUCUCGGCUGGCUCAUCAAUGAUACUUAACCAACCAUAACAUCAAGAUCAGACUGGAAUAGGAACUACGAUCUAACACGACGAUUCACACCAGCUAACCUGCCUGGCACAACCUCACUAACGGUUCUACAAGAUUUCGCAGCAGCUUGUGACCGCCUGGAGAUGAGUGUGCCCAUUCUCUGUGACUUGCUGAAGAUGGUGCCUUUCCCCAAGAUGUCAGUGCACGAGCUCAAGUUCAGUGAACUCUCCGAGAUGACUAUGCAUUACCCAAGAAGACAUGUUCAGAAACUCCUCUGCUAAUUAGAUGUACUGGUUUCAUGAAAGCCUUCAUUUAAUUGCCUGGGAUUUACAGAAGAUCUAGAAACAAAGCCACACUAUGCCAUAACCUACCCCAGCCUGCACACAGGAAACUAAAGCCCAGAUCGGUUGAGGUUAUAUGCUCCUCGGGGCAGAGAUGGUGUGUGUCUUGUUCUUUAUUGGAUGUUCAUGGCCCUGCCCAGUGUAGAGUAGUGGCAACACAGCCCCGAAGAGAGCACAAGCAGGGGACCAGCAGAAGGAGAAGCAGGCUCCCCCCGGAGGAAGGAGCCCCAGAUGGACCUCGAUCCCACGAGCCUGGGAUCAUGACCUGAGCCAAGGGCAGAUGCUCAACCAAAUGAGCCAGCCACCCAAGGUGCCCCUAUUAUUAGAAAAUUUGAAAAUUAUAGCAGUUUAUAUUUUGAAACCAGGUAUCACCUCCAUGUUUCAACUUGCUUUAAAAAAUGAACAUCUAAUUUUAUUUAUACAGAUAACCAGAUUUGUAUAUUAGCUUAAAAUAUAUUUUAUCAAUAUUUGAGGCCACCCUUUUGAGAGCCCUCAGCCUGAAUUAUCCAAGAUGUGCACUCCUAUUCCAGUCUAGGGGGUAUUCAGAAAUGGAAAUCCCCUAGGUUGUAAUACAAAAAAGAAUUUACACUCAAAAUAUGUAUGCAAUAAAUAUAAAGACAGUAUUUUUUAAUAUUUACAUGACCAAGGGAGAUUUUAUUUUAAUGGAAGGAGGGCAGAAUGGCUUUCAGAUUCUUAUAUAUAGUGUUACCCACUCUGCUUAUGUGCUAAACUCUGUUGGUAGCACUAACAUCCUUAUUGACUUUUGCAGCGCUACUUUAGGCCAAACAAUCUGUCUCGAGAAAACUGGGAACCAUUAAGUGUGAAGAAUGGGCGUGGCUCUGCCAGUAGCUUAUCUGAAAGCUUAUUCUCUGCAUGGAAUAGGAAAGAAAAGAUGUGAAAUGGUAAACAUUAAGGUUUCAAAGUUUUGUUUGGAUUUCCAUGCAUUCCCAAGUAAGACAUGCUAAUAGCAAACCUAACUAUAUAUAUAACAUUCAAAGCCAAAUAUGAAUAAUUUUACCUCAAAUUACUUCAGUGAUUCCUCAACUAGCACAGCAUUCAGCUGACCAACAGAAUUCUCUGCGAUCAGGAGGAUGGUCUGUAUUUGUACUGUCCAACAUGAGAGCCACUACCCACCCGUGUCUAGUGAGCGCUGGAAAUGUGACUAGAGCAAAUGCGCAACUGAAUCUUGAUUUUAUUUUGCUUGUUAAAACUUCCAUUUGCACAGCCACACGUGGUUAGUGGCUACUGUAUAGGACCGUGGAGGAGAUAAUCCCUUUCUUUUCAAAUACAGUUUCCCACAUUUGCCUUUACUUUUAUCAGACUAUUUUGAUA